GAUGAACGCUGGCGGCGUGCCUAAUACAUGCAAGUCGAGCGAACGGACGAGAAGCUUGCUUCUCUGAUGUUAGCGGCGGACGGGUGAGUAACACGUGGAUAACCUACCUAUAAGACUGGGAUAACUUCGGGAAACCGGAGCUAAUACCGGAUAAUAUUUUGAACCGCAUGGUUCAAAAGUGAAAGACGGUCUUGCUGUCACUUAUAGAUGGAUCCGCGCUGCAUUAGCUAGUUGGUAAGGUAACGGCUUACCAAGGCAACGAUGCAUAGCCGACCUGAGAGGGUGAUCGGCCACACUGGAACUGAGACACGGUCCAGACUCCUACGGGAGGCAGCAGUAGGGAAUCUUCCGCAAUGGGCGAAAGCCUGACGGAGCAACGCCGCGUGAGUGAUGAAGGUCUUCGGAUCGUAAAACUCUGUUAUUAGGGAAGAACAUAUGUGUAAGUAACUGUGCACAUCUUGACGGUACCUAAUCAGAAAGCCACGGCUAACUACGUGCCAGCAGCCGCGGUAAUACGUAGGUGGCAAGCGUUAUCCGGAAUUAUUGGGCGUAAAGCGCGCGUAGGCGGUUUUUUAAGUCUGAUGUGAAAGCCCACGGCUCAACCGUGGAGGGUCAUUGGAAACUGGAAAACUUGAGUGCAGAAGAGGAAAGUGGAAUUCCAUGUGUAGCGGUGAAAUGCGCAGAGAUAUGGAGGAACACCAGUGGCGAAGGCGACUUUCUGGUCUGUAACUGACGCUGAUGUGCGAAAGCGUGGGGAUCAAACAGGAUUAGAUACCCUGGUAGUCCACGCCGUAAACGAUGAGUGCUAAGUGUUAGGGGGUUUCCGCCCCUUAGUGCUGCAGCUAACGCAUUAAGCACUCCGCCUGGGGAGUACGACCGCAAGGUUGAAACUCAAAGGAAUUGACGGGGACCCGCACAAGCGGUGGAGCAUGUGGUUUAAUUCGAAGCAACGCGAAGAACCUUACCAAAUCUUGACAUCCUUUGACAACUCUAGAGAUAGAGCUUUCCCCUUCGGGGGACAAAGUGACAGGUGGUGCAUGGUUGCCGUCAGCUCGUGUCGUGAGAUGUUGGGUUAAGUCCCGCAACGAGCGCAACCCUUAAGCUUAGUUGCCAUCAUUAAGUUGGGCACUCUAAGUUGACUGCCGGUGACAAACCGGAGGAAGGUGGGGAUGACGUCAAAUCAUCAUGCCCCUUAUGAUUUGGGCUACACACGUGCUACAAUGGACGAUACAAAGGGCAGCGAAACCGCGAGGUCAAGCAAAUCCCAUAAAGUUGUUCUCAGUUCGGAUUGUAGUCUGCAACUCGACUACAUGAAGCUGGAAUCGCUAGUAAUCGUAGAUCAGCAUGCUACGGUGAAUACGUUCCCGGGUCU
rnacentral:rRNA from 1 species